UAAGAGAGCAAUGUCAGAAUGUCCCAAGG
rnacentral:piRNA from 1 species